UAUAUAAAUGUUUUUGUGCCAGGGAUAAAUCGUGGAAUUUGACCAUUUCCAAGAAUAUACUUGCAACAUUCUUGUUUGUGAUUUUGUAAAAGUAAAAACACACUCACACAUUCCAUUAUUUCAUUACAUAAUUUAAAAGUUUCUUUUUAUUUUUUGCACCAUUAUUGGUUAAUUCUGUUGAGUCACUUAAUGGUCAAUUAGGCUAGUCCCAUCUAUAUACAUGGUUCACCCCAUGUUUCGAUUUAAUGCCCUACCAUCUGAUUGUGAGGGUUUAUAAGGCAAUAACCCCCACCUGCACGUUGUCUUGAGAAAGUCGUGUGGUAAGGACGAAACACGUAGAUGCUGUGCUUUUCCCCCCAGCAAAUUUGCCUUCACUGUUUGAAAUGCUGAGCAUUCAGCUAGUAUCCAGCAAGGAGCCGCAGUCUUUUGCGAAGUUCCCGACCGCGGCACUAUCUCCACAGCACACCCCCUACGCGAUCAUCUCCACAGAGGC